UUCGACCGUAGCUCCAGGGAGGAGAGGGUGUCGCGUCUUGGCGAGAUGCGCGCCUUCGCCGCAGAGGAGGGGCUUCUACGAUCAUGACGACGCGGUUGCGG
rnacentral:tRNA from 1 species